rnacentral:sRNA from 1 species
UGGUGUGUUCUUUUUUUCCUUCUUUUU